rnacentral:rRNA from 1 species
AUUGAACGCUGGCGGCAUGCCUUACACAUGCAAGUCGAACGGCAGCGGACCUUCGGGUGCCGGCGAGUGGCGAACGGGUGAGUAAUAUAUCGGAACGUACCUUUCAGUGGGGGAUAACGUAGCGAAAGUUACGCUAAUACCGCAUAUUCUGUGAGCAGGAAAGCAGGGGAUCGCAAGACCUUGCGCUGAUUGAGCGGCCGAUAUCAGAUUAGCUAGUUGGUGAGGUAAAGGCUCACCAAGGCGACGAUCCGUAGCGGGUCUGAGAGGAUGAUCCGCCACACUGGAACUGAGACACGGUCCAGACUCCUACGGGAGGCAGCAGUGGGGAAUUUUGGACAAUGGGCGGCAAGACCUGAUCCAGCCAUGCCGUGUGAGUGAAGAAGGACCGUCGUUGG